rnacentral:misc_RNA from 1 species
UAGUAGCCAUCGCGCAGCCCCCCGA